GGCUCCGCGCGACAUCAAGAACCUUGAAGAACCAGGGAAAUGAACCUUCCCAACCCCACCCUGCCACCCGUCACCCACAUGGGUGAAAAUGGCCAACUUAGCUGGAUAUCAGGCUGAUUGGCUGGCAUAUGCUCGCCGCGACGAACAUCCCCCAGACAUGCGACGGCCCCCGGCCGGGACGGCAAUCCCGAUCGAGGGCCUGACCAACGAGGAAGAGAAGCCUUCCCG
rnacentral:ncRNA from 1 species